rnacentral:rRNA from 1 species
UGCAAGUCGAGGGGCAGCACGAAUAGUAAUAUUUGGUGGCGACCGGCAAACGGGUGCGGAACACGUACGCAACCUCCCCAAAACAGGUGAAUAGCCCUGCGAAAGUAGGAUUAAUACACCGUGAGAUAUACUGGUGGCAUCACUAAUAUAUUAUAGGUAGCAAUACCGGUUUUGGAUGGGCGUGCGCCUGAUUAGGUAGUUGGUGUAGGUAACGGCUCACCAAGCCUUCGAUCAGUAACUGGUGUGAGAGCACGACCAGUCACACGGGCACUGAGACACGGGCCCGACUCCUACGGGAGGCAGCAGUAAGGAAUAUUGGUCAAUGGACGCAAGUCUGAACCAGCCAUGCCGCGUGAAGGAUGAAGGCCCUCUGGGUUGUAAACUUCUUUUAUCUGGGACGAAAAACGGGCAUUCAUGCUCACUUGACGGUACCAGAGGAAUAAGCACCGGCUAACUCCGUGCCAGCAGCCGCGGUAAUACGGAGGGUGCAAGCGUUAUCCGGAUUUACUGGGUUUAAAGGGUGCGUAGGUGGGCAGGUAAGUCAGUGGUGAAACCUUCAAGCUUAACUUGGAAACUGCCAUUGAUACUAUUUAUCUUGAAUACUUUGGAGGUAAGCGGAAUAUGUCAUGUAGCGGUGAAAUGCUUAGAUAUGACAUAGAACACCAAUUGCGAAGGCAGCUUACUACACAGUUAUUGACACUGAGGCACGAAAGCGUGGGGAUCAAACAGGAUUAGAUACCCUGGUAGUCCACGCCCUAAACGAUGGAUACUCGACAUUAGCGAUACACAGUUAGUGUCUGAGCGAAAGCAUUAAGUAUCCCACCU